AUAUUUGAAAUAAUAAAAGAAGCCAAGUAUAUGGUAAUGCUUGGCUUACAAGUGCCAAAAAAUCUGAUAAAUCUAAUUUUUGCUUAUAGUGAUAUCAUUACAGUGUAUCGCAAAUUGCAGAUGGUCCUCAUAGAACAUAAACAGUUGAUUGAAACAAUACCUGAUGCAUUCUUACCUCUAACACAACCUUCGUUAUUUAAGAUUGAAAGCCUGAUCUUUCCUGGUUCUACAACAAUUACCUGGACAUCUCUUGAGGUUCAUGAGUAC